rnacentral:rRNA from 1 species
CCUACGGGGGGCAGCAGUGGGGAAUUUUGCGCAAUGCUCGUAAGAGUGACGCAGCGACGCCGCGUGAAUGACGAAGGCCUUCGGGUCGUAAAGUUCUUUCGACAGGGAAGAAAAUGCAUAUAAGUAACUGUGUAUGUAUUGACGGUACCUGUAUAAGCAGCCCCGGCUAACUCCGUGCCAGCAGCCGCGGUAAUACGGAGGGGGCGAGCGUUUUUCGGGGGGACUGGGCGUAAAGAGCACGUAGGCGGUGUUGUAAGUCAUUAGUCAAAGACUAGAGCUCAACUUUAGUAAGGCUAGUGAUACUAUAAUACUAGAGUAUCAGAGAGGAUUGCAGAAUUCCUGGUGGAGCGGUGAAAUGCGUAGAUAUCAGGAGGAAUACCGUUAGCGAAGGCGGCAAUCUGGCUGGAAACUGACGCUGAGGUGCGAAAGCGUGGGUAGCAAACAGGAUUAGAUACCCCAGUAGUC